GAUGAGCAUGCGUCCCAUUAGCUAGUUGGUAAGGUAACGGCUUACCAAGGCUACGAUGGGUAGGGGUCCUGAGAGGGAGAUCCCCCACACUGGUACUGAGACACGGACCAGACUCCUACGGGAGGCAGCAGUGAGGAAUAUUGGACAAUGGGCGCAAGCCUGAUCCAGCCAUGCCGCGUGCAGGAUGACGGUCCUAUGGAUUGUAAACUGCUUUUAUACGAGGAGAAACACUCCAACGUGUUGGAGCUUGACGGUAUCGUAAGAAUAAGGAUCGGCUAACUCCGUGCCAGCAGCCGCGGUAAUACGGAGGAUCCAAGCGUUAUCCGGAAUCAUUGGGUUUAAAGGGUCCGUAGGCGGUUUAAUAAGUCAGUGGUGAAAGCCCAUCGCUCAACGGUGGAACGGCCAUUGAUACUGUUAAACUUGAAUUAUUAGGAAGUAACUAGAAUAUGUAGUGUAGCGGUGAAAUGCUUAGAGAUUACAUGGAAUACCAAUUGCGAAGGCAGGUUACUACUAAUGGAUUGACGCUGAUGGA
rnacentral:rRNA from 1 species